rnacentral:lncRNA from 1 species
UGUGUAUAGUGGUCUUUAUCUUCCUUGAGUUUGGAGGUGAGAAAGCUCAAUCAACUCAAGAAAUUACGCCUAGCACUCCCGCAAGGCGCCCGUCGGCGUAAGUUGAUGCUAUUAAUGAGCUUUGCAGGUUUACCUGGGUAUAAUCCUUUUAGUUUGUAACUCUAAAUGACUUUUCUUCUUCCUCUUUUUCACGCUUCGCUGCUAUCUUCAAGGGAGGCAAAUCUCGUGCACUGACUUAAUUUAUAGCUAGCCGUGUAAAAAAGAAAAACUCGCGGGUAGGGGGCUCACUUUGCCGCGCGGUGCGAGAGGUUUUUCAUAACCGCACCUCGAUCCCACUGCAAUGCGGCCAAGUCUGGCAAGUGUAGGCAGAGUGUCGUUAGGAAUUAUUAUAUCAGCGGGGUAAAAAAAAAGUGUUUUUAAAUUCCGUGUGUCGUUUAUCAAAAGUCUUUUGCUGCGGUUCGUAUCUCGCUCCCUAUCUCCUGCUCUGUUCUACGCCUCG